rnacentral:rRNA from 1 species
AACGAACGCUGGCGGCAUGCCUAACACAUGCAAGUCGAACGAGACCUUCGGGUCUAUUGGCGCACGGGUGCGUAACGCGUGGGAACCUUCCCUUAGGUUCGGAAUAACUCCCCGACAGGGGUGCUAAUACCGGAUAAUGUCUUCGGACCAAAGAUUUAUCGCCUUUGGAUGGGCCCGCGUUGGAUUAGCUAGUUGGUAGGGUAAAAGCCUACCAAGGCGACGAUCCAUAGCUGGUCUGAGAGGAUGAUCAGCCACACUGGGACUGAGACACGGCCCAGAAUCCUACGGGAGGCAGCAGUGGGGAAUAGUGGACAAUGGGCGAAAGCCUGAUCCAGCAAUGCCGCGUGAGUGAUGAAGGCCUUAGGGUUGUAAAGCUCUUUUAACCGGGAUGAUAAUGACAGUACCGGGAGAAUAAGCUCCGGCUAACUCCGUG